AGUCGGUGCAGAAGCAGCAAGAUGCUGUGGCAGAUUCAGCUCCUCUGGCUCCUCGUGCUCUGGGCAAAGGGCUCCAGUGGGGACACUGUUGUGACCCAGACUCCUGAAUCCCUGGCAGUUUCCCCAGGAGAGACAGUCACCAUCAAGUGCAAAGCCAGCUCCAGUGUUAGCAGCUACAUGAACUUCUACCAGCAGAAACCAGGGCAGGCUCCAAAGCUCCUUCUCUACAACACAAACAGCCGCCCCUCGGGGAUCCCCGACCGGUUCAGUGGCAGUGGGUCUGGAACUGACUUCACUUUCACCAUCAGCCGGGUGGAAGCUGGAGAUGCUGGAGACUAUUACUGUCAGCAGGGUAACAGCAGCCCUCCCACAGUGCUACAGCCCCGCUCCAGCGGAGACAUCCUCGUGACCCAGACUCCAGAAUCUGUGGUUGUGUCCCCAGGAAACACAGUCACCAUCAAGUGCAAAGCCAGUUCCAGUGUUAGCAACUACAUGAACUUUUACCAGCAGAAACCAGGGCAGGCUCCAAAGCUCCUUGUCUACUACACAAACAAGCGCCCCUCGGGGAUCCCCGACCAGUUCAGUGGCAGUGGGUCUGGCACCGACUACACUUUCACCAUCAGCCAGGCACAAGUUUUAUUCAUCCUCUGA